CAGGAGUCCUGGCUCAGAGGGGCCCUGCCUGGGUCCGGGGCCGCUUGUUUUUCUUCAGCCGCUUUUGCUGGAGCUCCCGCUUCUUCAUCAGCUUCUUCUUCCGGGACAGGAGUGCUCUCCUGCACCAGGCUGCGAGACAUGGAGCAACUCACGGGGAAGCACUGGAAGAUGCCCCCAAUGAGCGCCCCCGGCGGCCCCCCCACGGGUCCCGCGUCACCCGGACCUGGUUGCUGUCCACGCGGUAGCCGUGCCUCAGGGCGAAGAUCUUCCCCAGCGAGAUGGCGAUGGCGAACCCCACCACAGCGAUGGCAAAGGCGUUUCCCACAAGCUUUGCAAAGAGCUGUGGGUUGGGGGCCACUGGAGGGACCAGCCUGGGAGAGACAACGGUGAGGCCACAGGCAGGGGCAGGCCCUGGCUGCCCAAGCCCCUCCUACUGGGACAUGGAGCUACCACUCACCCUGCUGGGAUGUUGCCCACAACAUCCACCCCGAACCGCUGCUGUAGGCCCACACCAUAGGAGAUGGCCGUGGCCCCGAUGAGCUGUGGGGAGAGACGGGGUCAGGGGGCGGGGGCGGGUGGGCCUUAUGGUCCCAGAGAGGCGGGGAGACCCUGGGACAGAGCCUUCUGCAGGGGCUGGGGGGCGGGGGAGGCAUCAGUAGGGUGAGAGACACACACAAUUCCGGGAAGACAGAGAUGCUAUUAGGGGCAGGGGAAGAGAGCGUGGGGCUUUCUGUUGUGGGCCCCCUGGCACCUGGGCACCCUCCCAGGGCCCACCCGGAGGCCGCCCCGGCAGGGAUGCAGCCUCGCUCGCCCGCCCCGGCCCGGCCCGGCCCCGCACCGUGAGCAGCUCCCCGGGUAUGGGCAGCGGGAGGUAGCGUCGCAGCUUCUCACUGAGCAGCUUCACGGCCACGAGCACCACCCCCGCCACGAGCGCGGUGACCAGGGUGCCGACCACGGUCUGCGGCAGCUUCCAGCAGACCUCCAGAACUGUCUGAGGAGAGGGGAAGUCACGGCCGGCACUCGGGGGCGGGGGACCCCGGCCCGCCCAGCCCGCCCGGCCCGCCGCCCCUCCUCACUCACAUAGAUGAGGGAGAGUGGCCCAGAACGGCUGCUCAGCUGCAGGCCAAACACGUACUUGAGCUGCGAGAUGAAGACCUGCACGGACGCAGCCGUGGUGUAGCUGCGCACCAGAGGCUCUGACAGGUAGGUGACCACGAAGCCGAAGUGCACCAGGCCCAGCCCCACCUGCGGGGUAGCCGGGGAUGGUCAGGGGAGACGGGGGUCCUGGGGUGGCUGCAGAGGACCCCAGGGCAAGUGGGACUGGGGGCGGGCAGGCACCCAGGGGAGCCGUGGGGGACCCAUACUCCUGACCGGCUUGCACCUGGAAGAGGCCAACCAGGACACUGAGCGUGGAAGCCAGCUGCACCCGGUAGGUGUCCCUGGCAGUCUCGUUGACUGUGGAAUUUGCGAUGUCCAUGAAGUCCUCAUCCGGGGCCAGGGAUUCUGUCACACUGCCCACCAUCACGGACAUGAUAGCAAAGGUCCCUGCAGGACAGGGCAGGGCAGCUCUGAAGGCCGGAGGACACCACCCUGCACUGAGGGCCCAGACGCAGGGCCGGUGUGUGGCAGAGUGGCUAAGUCACUGCCUGGGGUGCCUGCACCCAGCUCCUCGGCAUCUGAUCCAGCUUCCUGCUAACGCACACCCGAGGAGGCAGCAAACAAUUGCGCAGGUGCUUGGGUCCCUGCCACCCAUGUGGGACAUCGGGUUAGAGUUCCAGGCUUCUGGCUUUAGCUUGGCCCAGCCCUGAUCGUUUUGAGGAUUUGAGAAACGAACCAGUAAAUGGAAGCUUUCUGCCUUUCAAAAAAAAAAUCAAUUUUUUUAAAAAAAGAGAAAAAGAUGUUACAAAAAAUAAAAAGAGAAAGAUGGGGUGGGGGGUGGGGGAGACAGAGACACACAGACAACCCAGCUUUGGACAAACAUCCUCAGACUGAGGCUGUACAAAUGGGGGCAGAGCUGGCAGCGAGGCCUGGCCGGGGCAGGAGGAGACGAAAUGCUGGCUUCGCACCAGCUAAGCCUGCGCUGCCUGGGUCCAUCGGCCUCCCUGUGGAGCAGGACAGAGUCACAGCUGCUCCAGCUGAUCUGCUCACAUCCUCCUGAGACAGGGCUGUGCGUCACCCUGAACCUGUGAUCCCGCAGUCACCGGCCUGGUCCUGCCUGGGGCAGUCCCUGGGCUUGCCUCCCAGUGACCUAUCACCAAUGCUGCCCUCUUCCCCAGGCUCUCUGCCCUGUUCAGCCUGCCCUCACCCUGUCCUCCAUGGCGGAUGGAAGCCCCCCUGGAAAGCAAGGCCUGAUUCCACUUACCCACGGAGAUGUGCCGGGAAGUGCCAAACAGGAAGUAGAUGAAGACAGGGUAGAA